CCUACGGGUGGCAGCAGUGAGGAAUAUUGGUCAAUGGUCGGGAGACUGAACCAGCCAAGCAGCGUGAAGGAGGACUGUCCUGCGUAUCGUAAACUUCUUUUAUCAAGGAAUAAAGUGAGGCACGCGUGCCUUGUUGAGUGUACUUUAUGAAUAAGGAUCGGCUAACUCCGUGCCAGCAGCCGCGGUAAUACGGAGGAUGCGAGCGUUAUCCGGAUUUAUUGGGUUUAAAGGGUGCGUAGACGGGUUGUUAAGUCAGGUGUGAAAGUGUGCGGCUCAACCGCAAGAGUGCAAUUGAUACUGGCAGUCUUGAGGUCAGUUGAGGUAGGCGGAAUGCGUGGUGUAGCGGUGAAAUGCUUAGAUAUCACGCAGAACUCCGAUUGCGAAGGCAGCUUGCCAAACGGCCACUGACACUGAUGCUCGAAAGCGUGGGUAUCAAACAGGAUUAGAUACCCUUGUAGUC
rnacentral:rRNA from 1 species